UACGUAGGGUGCAAGCGUUGUCCGGAAUUAUUGGGCGUAAAGAGCUCGUAGGCGGUCUGUCGCGUCUGCUGUGAGAACUCGGGGCUUAACCCCGGGCCUGCAGUGGGUACGGGCAGACUAGAGUGCGGUAGGGGAGACUGGAAUUCUCGGUGUAGCGGUGAAAUGCGCAGAUAUCAGGAGGAACACCGGUGGCGAAGGCGGGUCUCUGGGCCGAUACUGACGCUGAGGAGCGAAAGCGUGGGGAGCGAACAGG
rnacentral:rRNA from 1 species